AGUGGCGGACGGGUGAGUAACGCGUGGGUAACCUGCCUUAUACAGGGGGAUAACAGUCAGAAAUGGCUGCUAAUACCGUAUAAGACCACAGCNCCGCAUGGUGCAGGGGUAAAAACUCCGGUGGUACAGGAUGGACCCGCGUCUGAUUAGCUGGUUGGUGAGGUAACGGCUCACCAAGGCGACGAUCAGUAGCCGGCUUGAGAGAGUGAACGGCCACAUUGGGACUGAGACACGGCCCAAACUCCUACGGGAGGCAGCAUG
rnacentral:rRNA from 1 species